rnacentral:rRNA from 1 species
GCGAAUGUGGUGCCAGCGGCGGCGGGAGUAGGAAGGGGGGUAGUGUUUAUCGGAAUGACGUGGCGUAAAUCGAACGUAGGCGGCUUUUUAAGGCUGGGGUGAAAUCCUGGAGCUCAACUCCAGAACUGCCUUCGAUACUGGAAAGCUCGAGUCCGGGAGAGGGGAGUGGAACUGCGAGUGUAGAGGUGAAAUUCGUAGAUAGUCGCAAGAACACCAGUGGCGAAGGCGGCUCACUGGCCCGGUACUGACGCUGAGGUGCGAAAGCGUGGGGAGCAAACAGGAUUAGAUACCCUAGUAGUC